GGGAGCUCUUCUCUGCUGGGAGCUCUUCUCCGACGGGAAUUUUGAAUUGAAGUUGUUUCUGUUGAAGGUAUGAAAAAUAUGAAGGACCUCACCCCUUGUAUAUGGGUUUUUUAUUUUCUGCAAAGUUCUAGCAUGAGCAUUAAUUCUAGUUCUGUUAUGCUAUUAUAUUUUGCAAUAUUUGAUUCAUGUGUGUACUGUCUUGGUGCUGUAGAUGGAUAGAAGGAAGCUAAAUAAGAACAGAAAAUUAGUAAAGGUUAUUUUAAGUGCUGCUGCGUAUGCUGCUGCUUGCAUGACAGUUUUGUUUGUGAGCUCGAUGGUACUUAACAAGAAAAGAAAACGAAUUACCUACGGGCCAAUGGAGGAGAGAGAUAAAACUAGAAUUGACUACCUAAAUUCGAAGAUUUACAAGGAUGAUAUAACAUGCACAAAAAUGCUACGGCUCAAGAGAGUACCUUUCUUUCGAUUGUGUCAAGUGUUAUGUGAACGCUCAUUGCUUCGUGACACCUUACAUGUAUGUGUCGAGGAACAAGUUGCAAUGUUUUUGAACACAGUUGGACACAACUUGAAAAAUAGACUAGUUGGUACUAAUUUCACUAGGUCAGGUGAAACAGUUAGCCGGUAUUUUGGAUUAGUUCUUCAUGCUAUAGGUCAGCUAAGCAAUGAGCUUAUCCGUCCACCUUCAUUGGAGACCCCUUCCAAAAUCACCGGAAACCCAAGAUGGGAUCCAUAUUUUAAGGAUUGUAUUGGUGCUAUUGACGGAACACAUAUAAGGGCAUCUGUUAGUAAGUCUAUGGAAGCAGCCUUUCGUGGUAGGAAGUCAUUUCCUACACAAAAUGUGAUGGCAGCGGUAGAUUUCGACUUGAAAUUCACCUAUUUGUUGGCUGGUUGGGAGGGGACAGCACAUGAUGCUGUGGUUUUAGCAGAUGCACUAGAGCGUCCGAAUGGCCUUCGAGUCCCUGAAGGAAAAUUCUAUUUAGUUGAUGCUGGAUAUGGAGCAAAAUCUGGCUUCAUGCCACCUUUCCGUGGUGUAAGGUACCAUUUGAAUGAGUGGGGGAACAAUCCAGUUCAAAGUGCAGAGGAAUUAUUCAAUCUCCGGCACUCUUCUUUGCGAGUAACUGUAGAGCGUGCCUUUGGAUCACUCAAAAGGAGGUUUAAAAUUCUUGAUGAUGCAACCCCAUUCUUUCCUUUUCCGGUUCAAGUUGAUAUUGUCAUAGCUUGUGCCAUUCUUCAUAACUGGGCUCUUUCUCAAGGAACAGAUCGCUUCAUCUUACCGGAAACCAAUUGGACUCCCAACUCUCGGAGGACAGCUAGGCAACUCGCAAAUGACCAUAGGGUCAUGGUUGAUAAGAGGCAAAUGAUUGCUGAAACAAUGUGGGCAGAUCGUCAAAACUACUAUAGUCAUCGGUAGUGUGGUAUUUGUGUAUCAAUAAAUAAUUUAUGUAAUAGCAGAACUUGAGCGAUGUGUAUUUCUAAUGUUAUGUACUACUUAUUAUAAUGCUGUACUAUUUUUUUGGACAAUUUAAUUACUGUUUUGUUAUGGUUCUUAUGACUCAACUGUGCUGCCUAUUCACUCAUUUUACUUGUUGCUGAAUAUUUAUAGUAUAUUUUAGUGUCAGUUUACCAUUGCACUCUCAAAUACUUGUAGGAGAUGGAUCUUGACCAGCAGGCCGACAACUUGGGUGCAAAUGGUGGUGGUCUUGUAUGGCCAAGUGCCAUGUCAAGCUACAUGCUCUAGCACUUAGCUCAGCUUGUGUCCAGUGGUAUGAAAACUUCAACAGGUUUCAAACAAGUUCAUCUUAAUGGUUGUGCAAGAGCUUUGAUGGAGAACAUGGGUUAUCAUGUCACCGGCACUCAAGUUGGUAAUCAUUUGAGGAAGUGGAAAAAGAUAUAUGGAAAGAUUCAGAAGCUGAAAAAUUUGAGUGGAGCACUUUGGGAUGAAGAAACUUGCACUAUAAGUCUCGAACGAGAACAUUACCUUGCUCACAUUCAGAUUCAUCGUGACGAUGCUAAAUAUCUGAACUGUCCAAUAGAGCACUACCAUGAGAUGGCAACUAUUUUUGGCAAUAGCUUGGCAACAGGUGCAUAUGCUAAGGGGGCUAGUGACCCUCUUGCCUCAGAGGUGACUGCAACAGCGAAUGCAUCACAAGAGACUAAAGAUGGUGCUGAAACAAAUGAACAAGGAGAAGGUUCACCACUUGAGGCUGAGGAGAUGACAUUUUCAGCUAACACAAAUGGUGCAGGGAGCUCUGGAACUAAACCACCAGCAGCAAAGAAGCAUAAAGUAGCUGCUGUUGAGGAUCCAAAUAUUGCAAUGGUCAGUAUAAUGAGUGAGGGUCUUGGGAACCUUGCAGCAGCCAUAGAGAAGGUGGGGAAGGAAGAUGAUGGCAUUCCUGAAGGGUUGUAUGAUGACAUGAUGAGUAUUCCUGGAUUUGAUGAGGCGCAUCUAGAUCACUACUAUGCUUAUUUGUGCGAACAUCCAUCACUUGCAAGGCGCUUCUACAAUAUGCGUUUGUCAUCAAAGAUGGUGUGGGUUGCGAGGUACAUCAAGGAGCAUCUUUGAGGAGAACCUUUGUGGUCCUGAUGAGUAGGUGCGGUCCUGAUGAGUAGGUGCU